rnacentral:lncRNA from 1 species
AUAAAGUCAAACAACUUUCAAGGGAUCUAAAGUCAUUCGAUACGAAGGUACCAUUCAAUAAUGAAGGUGGUUUUAUUACCCUUUAUCAUAAGAAAAGUUCAUUCUCUUACAUUCAAGUGUCAUGGGUAGGAACCAAUUUGUAUUGUUAUUGAUUAAAAUAUAACUUGUUGAAUGACUUAACUUUUUUGCAGGUAAGUGCAGUCAUGGUACCAAGAAUGUAUAUCAUGGAGCAUGUGGAUUACAGCCUCUAGAACGAUCAAUACAUAUAUUUAUAGGAGAUUUAUUUGUAAUACCGACUAUAGACAAAAAAUAAUAAUUAGUUAAGCAUAAAGUGCUUAAUAUUAUGCUAAGUUAGUCUAGGUAUGGAUUUAAUGUAAUAAUAGAUUCUUUUUAUGUAUCAUAAAUUUUUAUUUAUGAUAUUUAUAUUAUGUUCA